rnacentral:rRNA from 1 species
AUUGGAGAGUUUGAUCCUGGCUCAGGACGAACGCUGGCGGCGUGCCUAACACAUGCAAGUCGAACGGGGGUAGCAAUACCCCAGUGGCGAACGGGUGCGUAACACGUGAGAAAUCUGUCUAUCGGCGGGGGAUAGCCGGCCCAACGGCCGGGUAAUACCGCGUACGUCGGCGAGGGCGCAUGCCCAUGCCGGGAAAGCAGCAAUGCACCGAUUGAGGAUCUCGCGGCCUAUCAGCUUGUUGGUGAGGUAACGGCUCACCAAGGCUACGACGGGUAGCUGGUCUGAGAGGAUGAUCAGCCACAUUGGGACUGAGACACGGCCCAGACUCCUACGGGAGGCAGCAGUGGGGAAUAUUGCGCAAUGGGGGAAACCCUGACGCAGCGACGCCGCGUGUGGGAUGACGGCCUUCGGGUUGUAAACCACUGUCGCGAGGGACGAAGAUCUGACGGUACCUCGAAAGGAAGCACCGGCUAACUCUGUGCCAGCAGCCGCGGUAAUACAGAGGGUGCGAGCGUUGUCCGGAAUUACUGGGCGUAAAGGGCGCGUAGGCGGCUUGAUAAGUAGGGGGUGAAAUCUCACGGCUCAACCGUGAAACUGCCUUUGAUACUGCUUUUCUUGAGUUAGGGAGAGGUCGAUGGAAUUCCAGGUGUAGCGGUGAAAUGCGUAGAUAUCUGGAAGAACACCGGUGGCGAAGGCGGUGGUCUGGGCCUGAACUGACGCUGAGGAGCGAAAGCCAGGGGAGCAAACGGGAUUAG